UCGCUCUUCAACGAGGAAUCCCUAGUAAGCACAAGUCAUCAGCUUGUGCUGAUUACGCCCCUGCCCUUUGUACACACCGCCCGUCGCUACUACCGAUUGAAUGGCUUAGUGAGGCCCUCGGAUCGAUGUUCGGAGACUGGCAACAGUUUCCGUUUGUUGAGAAGUUGGUCAAACUUGGUCAUUUAGAGGAAGUAAAAGUCGUAACAAGGUUUCCGUAGGUGAACCUGCGGAAGGAUCAUUAUUAUUUGGGUCGGGUUUACUACUUAUAACUGUUGCUCAUGUGUCUCAAAUGUAAAGUAGUAAACUUUUACCAAAUAAUCCUAUAUCCAAAUAGGAGCAAGAUGAAUUUAUAUUUAAAACCCACUCUUGAAUGUAUAAAAUUUAUGUAUUAAUGAUAAAAUUAAAGAUCACUUUCAACAACGGAUCUCUUGGCUCUCGCAUCGAUGAAGAACGUAGCGAAGUGCGAUAAGUAAUGUGAAUUGCAGAAUUCCGUGAAUCAUCGAGUCUUUGAACGCAAAUUGCACUUUCUGGUAUUCCGGAAAGUAUGCCUGUUUGAGGGUCAGUUAAAUAAAAAUCGGUGUUGUUGCUGCCUUUCGUGGUGACGCGUCGGAAUUGGGUCGUCUUACCUUCGGUUAAGUGACUUAAAAUUUUGUAUGAUUUUCGAACGUAUUUAAAUUGCUUACGUACGUUUGAGAUAUCGAAUGUUUAUUAGGUUCGGUCAUUCUCAUGAUUCGCGCCUAUAAUUUUUCAUUAAAUGACCUCAAAUCAGGUAAGAAUACCCGCUGAACUUAAGCAUAUCAAUAAGCGGAGGAAAAGAAAAUAACAAUGAUUCCCUUAGUAACGGCGAGUGAAGGGGGAAAAGCUCAAAUUUUAAAUCUGCUAGGUUUUACUUAUCAGAAUUGUAAUUUGAAGAAGCGUUUUCCGCGUCUCGGUUGGCCCAAAUCCUUUGGGAUAAGGUAUCAUGGAGGGUGAGAAUCCCGUUCGGUUGACCUUAUGACGCUUUACGAUACGCUCUCUAAGAGUCGAGUUGUUUGGGAUUGCAGCUCAAAAUGGGUGGUAGACUUCACCUAAGGCUAAAUAUCAGCGAGAGACCGAUAGCGAACAAGUACUGUGAAGGAAAGAUGAAAAGAACUUUGAAAAGAGAGUUAAAUAGUACGUGAAAUUGUUGAAAGGGAAACGAUUGAAGUCAGUCAUGCUAGUGAAAAAUCAGUUUGACGGGUUUUGAGUUCGGGAGUAGAGGCAGGGUCAAACCGUUUCUCUUUUGAACUUGGGAUUUGUCGGAUGUACUUUUUCUUUGGCAGGUCAGCGUCGGUUUCGGAGGUUGUAAAAUACUUGGGGAAAAGUAGCUCUGCUUCGGGAGAGUAUUAUAGACCCUGGGGGAUGCAGCCUGUGGGAUCGAGGAUUGCAGCAAAUGCCUUUGGCUUGUCGCCUGAUCUCUGGAUGUUACCUUACUUGUGACAACAUCCUUGACACUGGUGAGUACUAAUGCCCAUUAGGUUAGAACGAUCAAAAAUUUUGCUAAGGAUGCUGACGUAAUGGCUUUAAACGACCCGUCUUGAAACACGGACCAAGGAGUCUAACAUAUGUGCGAGUGUUU
rnacentral:rRNA from 1 species